rnacentral:rRNA from 1 species
UACGUAGGGGGCGAGCGUUGUCCGGAAUUACUGGGCGUAAGGAGCUCGUAGGUGGUUUGUCGCGUUGUUCGUGAAAACUCACAACUCAAUUGUGGGCGUGCGGGCGAUACGGGCAGACUGGAGUACUGCAGGGGAGACUGGAAUUCCUGGUGUAGCGGUGGAAUGCGCAGAUAUCAGGAGGAACACCAGCGGCGAAGGCGGCGCUCUGGGCCGGAGCUGACGCUGAGGAGCGAAAGCGUGGGGAGCAAACAGG